CCUUACUGCUCAGUAACACGUGGAUAACCUGCCCUUGGGUCCGGCAUAACCCCGGGAAACUGGGGAUAAUUCCGGAUAACGCACAUAUGCUGGAAUGCUUUAUGCGUCAAAUGGAUUCGUCUGCCCAAGGAUGGGUCUGCGGCCUAUCAGGUAGUAGUGGGUGUAAUGUACCUACUAGCCAACAACGGGUACGGGUUGUGAGAGCAAGAGCCCGGAGAUGGAUUCUGAGACAUGAAUCCAGGCCCUACGGGGUGCAGCAGGCGCGAAAACUUUACAAUGCGGGAAACCGUGAUAAGGGGACACCGAGUGCCAGCAUCAUAUGCUGGCUGUCCGGGUGUGUAAAAUACACCUGUUAGCAAGGGCCGGGCAAGACCGGUGCCAGCCGCCGCGGUAACACCGGCGGCCCGAGUGGUGAUCGUGAUUAUUGGGUCUAAAGGGUCCGUAGCCGGUUUGGUCAGUCCUCCGGGAAAUCUGAUAGCUCAACUAUUAGGCUUUCGGGGGAUACUGCCAGGCUUGGAACCGGGAGAGGUAAGAGGUACUACAGGGGUAGGAGUGAAAUCUUGUAAUCCCUGUGGGACCACCUGUGGCGAAGGCGUCUUACCAGAACGGGUUCGACGGUGAGGGACGAAAGCUGGGGGCACGAACCGGAUUAGAUACCCGGGUAGUCCCAGCCGUAAACGAUGCUUGCUAGGUGUCAGGCAUGGCGCGACCGUGUCUGGUGCCGCAGGGAAGCCGUGAAGCGAGCCACCUGGGAAGUACGGCCGCAAGGCUGAAACUUAAAGGAAUUGGCGGGGGAGCAC
rnacentral:rRNA from 1 species